AUUGAACGCUGGCGGAAUGCUUUACACAUGCAAGUCGAACGGCAGCACGGACUUCGGUCUGGUGGCGAGUGGCGAACGGGUGAGUAAUGCAUCGGAACGUGCCCAGUCGUGGGGGAUAACGUAGUGAAAAUUACGCUAAUACCGCAUACGCUCUAUGGAAGAAAGCGGGGGAUCGCAAGACCUUGCGCGAUUGGAGCGGCCGAUAUCAGAUUAGGUAGUUGGUGGGGGAAAGGCCCACCAAGCCAACGAUCUGUAGCUGGUCUGAGAGGACGACCAGCCACACUGGAACUGAGACACGGUCCAGACUCCUACGGGAGGCAGCAGUGGGGAAUUUUGGACAAUGGGCGAAAGCCUGGUCCAGCCAUUCCGCGUGCAGGAUGAAGGCCCUCGGGUUGUAAACUGCUUUUGUACAGAACGAAAAGGUUUCUACUAAUACUAGGAGCUCAUGACGGUACUGUAAGAAUAAGCACCGGCUAACUACGUGCCAGCCGCCGCGGUAA
rnacentral:rRNA from 1 species